rnacentral:rRNA from 1 species
GUGCCAGCAGCCGCGGUAAUACGGAGGGUGCAAGCGUUGUCCGGAUUUAUUGGGUUUAAAGGGUGCGUAGGCGGCCUGGUAAGUCGGUGGUGAAAGCCCGGGGCUCAACCCCGGAACUGCCAUCGAUACUGUCAGGCUUGAGUACAGGCGAGGUUGGCGGAAUGGGCGGUGUAGCGGUGAAAUGCAUAGAUACCGUCCAGAACCCCGAUUGCGAAGGCAGCUGACUAGGCUGUAACUGACGCUGAGGCACGAAAGCGUGGGGAGCGAACAGGAUUAGAUACCCUGGUAGUCC